GAUGAAGAACGCAGCGAAAUGCGAUAAGUAGUGUGAAUUGCAGAAUUCAGUGAAUCAUCGAAUCUUUGAACGCACAUUGCGCCCGCCAGUAUUCUGGCGGGCAUGCCUGUUCGAGCGUCAUUUCAACCAUCAAGCCCAGGCUUGUGUUGGGGGCCUGCAGCUGCUGCAGCCCCCUAAAAGCAGUGGCGGACUCGCUGUCAUACCGAGCGCAGUAGUUACAUCUCGCUCUGGGCAUGGCGGCGGGCACCUGCCGUAAAACACUCUUUCUAAGGUUGACCUCGGAUCAGGUAGGAAUACCCGCUGAACUUAAGCAUAUCAAUAAGCGGAGGA
rnacentral:misc_RNA from 1 species